rnacentral:rRNA from 1 species
UACGGGGGGGGCAAGCGUUGUUCGGAAUUACUGGGCGUAAAGGGCUCGUAGGCGGCCAACUAAGUCCGACGUGAAAUCCCCCAGGCUUAACCUGGGAACUGCGUCGGAUACUGGAUGGCUUGAAUUCGGGAGAGGGAUGCAGAAUUCCAGGUGUAGCGGUGAAAUGCGUAGAUAUCAGGAAGAACACCCGUGGCGAAGGCGGCUCUCUGGGACGGUACUGACGCUGAGACGCGAAAGCGUGGGGAGCGAACAGG